AGCCUUGGAGUGUUAUCACGUUAGAUUGCAAAUCUAAAGAAGCAAAUUUAGCAUUUGCCGGGGCUU
rnacentral:tRNA from 1 species